GUAUUUUAUUCUUGAUCACAAUGUGCCCGGCUAAAACUAGGGGCAAGUAAGGAGGAAGUAGGAGGAAGUAGAGAAGGAGUAGUGCGGUGGCAACCAGCCAUCCCUGUAUUUGGCAAGAUGUGAAGAUUAUGACUGGCCGUGGAACGACAUCUGGGCUGAAGUUGUUGUAGGCUUUCAAGAGAAUGCCUGCUUUGUCUAGGCUUUUCCUGAGUCAGGGGACAAUCCUAAGGGCUGGAGUAGCCGAGUUCUGCAGACCAAAAUAUGUUCCUAUUAUGAUGGCCACAGGAGUUCAGCAAUACCCAAACUAAUUUACUCCUUGUUGGAGAAGACUAGUCCUCUUAGCACACGCUGGGAUGUUACAAGGUCACCUGCUAUUCAGGCAGGAAGAGUGCAUCUUUGUCAGGAAUACUGCAGAAGCGAUGCUGGGUUCUUCUCAUUGCCUCUUAUC
rnacentral:lncRNA from 1 species